rnacentral:pre_miRNA from 1 species
AGGGGGAGAGCCGGAUCUUGGGCUGUGUCCCCCAGCGCCCGCUCUGGGGCCUGUGCCGCUGGAAUUGUGCUCCCAGGGCCGCGCGGCCCCCU